CCCUUAGAUGUUCUGGGCCGCACGCGUGCUACACUGAGUGGAUCAGCGGGUCAGGUUGCGCGAAAGCGUUUCCUAAUCUUUAAAUCCGCUCGUGAUGGGGAUUGACGGUUGCAAUUUUCUGUCAUGAACGAGGAAUACCUUGUAAGCGCGGGUCAUCAUCCCGCGCUGAAUACGUCCCUGCCCUUUGUACACACCGCCCGUCGCUGCAACUGAUUGGGUGACCUGGUGAACAUCUUGGACCGGCUUGCCCAUUUUUGGACGAGUUGGAAAAGGACGUAAAUCAGGUACAUCUAGAAAUUGCAAAAGUCGUAACA
rnacentral:rRNA from 1 species